AGAGUUUGAUCCUAGCUCAGAACGAACGGUGACGGCGUGCCUACUACAUGCAAGUCGAGCGGUCUUGGGGGCAACUCCGAGAUAGCGGCGAACGGGUGAGUAAUAUAUAGAUAACCUACCCUUGAGUGUGGGAUAAUAAUUCGAAAGGAUUACUGAUACCGCAUAAGUUGUCCUUCGCAUGAAGGGCAAACGAAAGUGGGGUUUCGGCCUUAUGGUCAAGGAGGGGUCUAUAGCCUAUCAGCUAGUUGGUGAGGUAACGGCUUACCAAGGCGAUGACGGGUAGCCGGCCUGAGAGGGUGAACGGCCACAUGGACACUGAGACACGGGUCCAACUCCUACGGGAGGCAGCAGUAGGGAAUUUUGGGCAAUGGGCGAGAGCCUGACCCAGCGACGCCGUGUGGAGGAAGGAGGCCUUCGGGUUGUAAACUCCUUACACGGACUAUGAAGGUUUGCGGUACUAAUAAUGCCGUGAAUCAGACAAGUCUGGGAUGAAGUCAUUGCUAACUCUGUGCCAGCAGCAGCGGUAAUACAGAGAUGACAACCGUUGUUCGGAAUUAUUGGGCUUAAAGAGCACGUAGGUGGGUUGUUAAGUCGGUUGUGAAAGACCACGCUUUAAGCGUGGGGGGUCAGCCGAUACUGGCAGCCUUGAGGGCGGUAGGGGAGAGUGGAAUUCCUGGUGGAGCGGUGAAAUGCGUAGAGAUCAGGAGGAACGCCGGAGGCGAAGGUGACUCUCUAGGCCGUCCCUGACACUGAGGUGCGAAAGCUAGGGGAGCAAACGGGAUUAGAUACCCCGGUAGUCCUAGCCGUAAACGAUGGGCACUAAGUGGGGGAGGGUACUUCCUCGCCGUAGCGAAAGCAUUAAGUGCCCCGCCUGGGGAGUACGGCCGCAAGGCUGAAACUCAAAGGAAUUGACGGGGGCUCGCACAAGCGGUGGAGCAUGUGGUUUAAUUCGAUGCAACGCGAAGAACCUUACCUGGGCUUGACAUGCUAGGAUUAGUCUGGCGAAAGUCAGAUGACAGCCCGCAAGGGUUGGAACUAGCACAGGUGUUGCAUGGCUGUCGUCAGCUCGUGCCGUGAGGUGUUGGGUUAAGUCCUAUAACGGGCGAAACCUUUGUCCCUAGUUACCAUCGGGUAGAGCCGGGGACUCUAGGGAGACUGCAGGCGUUAAGCCUGAGGAAGGUGGAGAUGACGUCAAGUCAUCAUGGCCUUUAUGUCCAGGGCUACACACGUGCUACAAUGGUCGGAACAAAGGGAAGCGAAGCUGUGAGGUGGAGCAAAUCCCAAAACGCCGAUCUCAGUUCAGAUUGAGGGCUGCAAUUCGCCCUCAUGAAGCCGGAAUCGCUAGUAAUCGUGGGUCAGCUAUACCACGGUGAAUGUGUUCCCGAGCCUUGUACACACCGCCCGUCAAGCCACCGAAGCAGGGGUAGCCUAAAGUCACUGGCCCAACCCGAAAGGGAGGGAGGUGCCUAAGGAAACCCGUGUGACGGGGACUAAGUCGUAACAAGGUA
rnacentral:rRNA from 1 species